AGCAGUAGCCGCGGUAAAACGAAGGGUGCAAGCGUUACUCGGAAUUACUGGGCGUAAAGCGUGCGUAGGUGGUGGUUUAAGUCUGCUGUGAAAGCCCUGGGCUCAACCUGGGAAUUGCAGUGGAUACUGGGUCACUAGAGUGCGGUAGAGGGUAGUGGAAUUUCCGGUGUAGCAGUGAAAUGCGUAGAGAUCGGAAGGAACAUCUGUGGCGAAGGCGACUACCUGGGCCAGCACUGACACUGAGGCACGAAAGCGUGGGGAGCAAACAGGAUUAGAUACCUGCGUAGUCCCUGUCUCUUAUAC
rnacentral:rRNA from 1 species